rnacentral:rRNA from 1 species
UAGGGAAUCUUCGGCAAUGGGGGCAACCCUGACCGAGCAACGCCGCGUGAGUGAAGAAGGUUUUCGGAUCGUAAAGCUCUGUUGUAAGAGAAGAACGUGUGUGAGAGUGGAAAGUUCACACAGUGACGGUAACUUACCAGAAAGGGACGGCUAACUACGUGCCAGCAGCCGCGGUAAUACGUAGGUCCCGAGCGUUGUCCGGAUUUAUUGGGCGUAAAGCGAGCGCAGGCGGUUUAAUAAGUCUGAAGUUAAAGGCAGUGGCUUAACCAUUGUUCGGUUUGGAAACUGUUAAACUUGAGUGCAGAAGGGGAGAGGGGAAUUCCAUGUGUAGCGGUGAAAUGCGUAGAUAUAUGGAGGAACACCGGUGGCGAAAGCGGCUCUCUGGUCUGUAACUGACGCUGAGGCUCGAAAGCGUGGGGAGCAAACAG